AUGGAGGCGAGCGGCACGGCUGAGGCUCGCCGGCCACCGCACGUGGCGAUGCUGGUGACGCCCGGGAUGGGCCACCUGAUCCCGCUCGCGGAGCUUGCCAAGCGCCUGGCCGCGCGGCACGGCGUCACGGCCACGCUCAUCACCUUCGCCUCCACUGCGUCCGCCACGCAGCGGUCCUUCCUCGCCUCCCUCCCGGCCGCCAUCUCCUCCGUGUCCCUUCCGCCCGUCGACCUCUCCGACCUGCCACCCGGCGCCACCAUCGAGACUCUCAUGUCCGAGGAGUGCGCCCGCUUGGUGCCGGCGCUUACCGGGGUUCUGUCGGGGCUCAGGGAGACGACGCGGAUGGUGGCCUACGUGGCCGACCUCUUCGGGGCGGACUCGUUCGACGCUGCCGUGGCCGCCGGCGUGCCCAGAAGGUACCUUUUCCAUCCGGGGAACCUGCAUGGGCUAACGUUCAUCCUCCACCUCCCGGAGAUCGAUGUUUCCAUGCCCGGUGAGUUCCGGGACCUCGCCGAGCCCGUCAGGCUGCCCGGCUGCGUCCCCAUCCCGGGGCCGGACGUCAUGUCGCCGUUACAGGACAAGUCUGACCCCUGCUACCGGUGGAUGGUGCACCACGCCAAGCGCUACCUAGAAUCCGAGGCCAUCCUGGUGAACUCCUUCGACGCCGUCGAGCCGGACGCCGCCAGGGUGCUCUCUCACCCGGAGCCCGGGCGCCCUCCGGUGUACAACAUCGGUCCGCUCAUACGGGCCGACACCGGCGAGGAGCCGCGCGCUGCGUGCCUGGACUGGCUCGACCGGCAACCGCCCAAGUCCGUCAUCUUCGUCUCCUUUGGCUCCGGAGGCUCGCUGCCGACGGAGGAGAUGCACGAGCUGGCGCUCGGGCUGGAGCUGAGCGGGCAGCGCUUCCUGUGGGUAGUGCAGAGCCCGAGCAACUAUGUACUGCUAGUGCCAAUCACAUUUAUUAUUUCUCGCAUAUUGACAGUUGACAGGGAUAGGACCUCGCAGCUUGCACUAGUGGCCUUUGCUGCUAUUUUUGACGGAAAUUAG
rnacentral:rRNA from 1 species